CUUGAACGCUAGCGGCAUGCUUUACACAUGCAAUUCGCACGAGUGGCGGACGGGUGAGUAAUAUAUCGGAACGUUCCCAGUAGCGGGGGAUAACUACUCGAAAGAGUGGCUUAUACCGCAUACUAUUUGCGGGGCCUCUAUCGGAUUAUCUAGUUGGUGGGGGAAAGGCUCCCCAAGGCAACGAUCCGUAGCCGGUUUGAGAGGACGACCAGCCACACUGGGACUGAGACACGGCCCAGACUCCUACGGGAGGCAGCAGUGGGGAAUUUUGGACAAUGGGGGAAACCCUGAUCCAGCCAUCCCGCGUGUAUGAGAAGGCCUUCGGGUUGUAAAGUACUUUUGGAAGAGAAGCGGUAUCUGCAGAAUAAGCACCGGCUAACUACGUGCCAGCAGCCGCGGUAAUUC
rnacentral:rRNA from 1 species